rnacentral:misc_RNA from 1 species
UUAUUGUUUGAUGAAAGAAUAAGAACACUGAGAUUGACAAGUCUGGAAACUGAACUUAGAAUUGGCCCAUCCAACAAGUUAUUACUCAAAUCAAGAUAAUUCAGUGUACGAAACUGAAACUGACUUGUAUAACCAGUCAAUGAACUUGGAAUUUGCCCAUCCAACAAGUUGUUACUGAAAUCGACAACCUCCAUUACAGAAUUCGAUGGCAG